UACGUAGGGUGCAAGCGUUGUCCGGAAUUAUUGGGCGUAAAGCGCUCGUAGGCGGUUUUUCGCGUCUGCUGUGAAAACUCGGGGCUUAACCCCGGGCCUGCAGUGGGUACGGGCAGACUAGAGUGCGGUAGGGGAGACUGGAAUUCCUGGUGUAGCGGUGAAAUGCGCAGAUAUCAGGAGGAACACCGGUGGCGAAGGCGGCCUGCUGGGCAGUUGCUGACGCUGAGGCACGAAGGCCAGGGGAGCAAACGGG
rnacentral:rRNA from 1 species